rnacentral:rRNA from 1 species
UUCCAGACUCCUACGGGAGGCAGCAGUGGGGAAUAUUGCACAAUGGGGGGAACCCUGAUGCAGCGACGCCGCGUGAGUGGAGAAGUAUUUCGGUAUGUAAAGCUCUAUCAGCAGGGAAGAAAAUGACGGUACCUGACUAAGAAGCCCCGGCUAACUACGUGCCAGCAGCCGCGGUAAUACGUAGGGGGCAAGCGUUAUCCGGAUUUACUGGGUGUAAAGGGAGCGUAGACGGCAGUGCAAGUCUGGAGUGAAAGGCGGGGGCUCAACCCCCGGACUGCUCUGGAAACUGUACGGCUGGAGUGCAGGAGAGGUAAGUGGAAUUCCCAGUGUAGCGGUGAAAUGCGUAGAUAUCAGGAGGAACACCGGUGGCGAAGGCGGCCUGCUGGACUGCAACUGACGUUGAGGCCCGAAAGCGUGGGGAGCAAACAGGAUUAGAUCCCCGAGUA